rnacentral:rRNA from 1 species
UACGUAGGCAGCGAGCGUUGUUCGGAGUUACUGGGCGUAAAGCGUGCGUAGGCGGUGUCUUAAGUUUGUUGUGAAAUCUCCCGGCUUAACCGGGAGGUUGCGGCGAAUACUGAGAUGCUGGAGUGCCGGAGAGGUAAGCGGAAUUCCUGGUGUAGCGGUGAAAUGCGUAGAUAUCAGGAGGAACACCUGCGGUGUAGACGGCUUACUGGACGGUAACUGACGCUGAGGCACGAAAGCGUGGGUAGCAAACAGG